rnacentral:rRNA from 1 species
UACGUAGGGUGCAAGCGUUAAUCGGAAUUACUGGGCGUAAAGCGUGCGCAGGCGGUUUUGCAAGUCCGAUGUGAAAUCCCCGGGCUUAACCUGGGAAUGGCAUUGGUGACUGCACGGCUAGAGUGUGGCAGAGGGGGGUAGAAUUCCACGUGUAGCAGUGAAAUGCGUAGAGAUGUGGAGGAAUACCGAUGGCGAAGGCAGCCCCCUGGGAUAACACUGACGCUCAUGCACGAAAGCGUGGGGAGCAAACAGG